UCGGAGACGGUGCUCGUGCGGGGGUGAUGCGACGCGCGUAUCCGAAAGACUCUCGGCAACGGAUAUCUCGGCUCUUGCAUCGAUGAAGAACGUAGCGAAAUGCGAUACUUGGUGUGAAUUGCAGAAUCCCGUGAACCAUCGAGUCUUUGAACGCAAGUUGCGCCCGAAGCCAUUAGGCUGAGGGCACGCCUGCCUGGGUGUCGCCCAUCGUUGCCCCAGUGCCUUGGCCUCGUGCUAGGCACCGAGCUGGGCGAAUGCUGGCUUCCCGCGAGCAACGCCUCACGGUUGGUUGAAAACAGAGUCCGUGGUGGAGGGCGCCGUGACGGAUGGUGGUUGAG
rnacentral:rRNA from 4 species